rnacentral:piRNA from 1 species
UGGUUGGUAGAGUUUGAGCUUCCCCACUGC